GUUCUCUGAAGUCACUGCGUUUCUCCUCCGAUCCAUUCGAUGGUGUCGUCCUCCAUCUGCGGCGGCGGCGUCGGCGUCGUCGUCCUUGGCAGCGUGAGCGUCCAUCGUCUUCAUCGUCCGUCGUCCUUGGUCUGCGCUGCACUGCUCUGCGCUGGUCGUGCGUCUGCUCUACUCUACUUCCCACUGGUGGUGUGUCGCUUCUGUCGCGUUCGCUCGUCGUGGAUCGCUACGCCGCUACUCGUGUCGCCACACCUCGCCGCACCUCGCCUUGCUGCCUGAAGUCUAUCUGCCAAAAUAGGCUUCGCCUCAUGAUUUCUUUCGGGGUGGAGGUCGAGAUGGGGAAGGCUUAAACUAUCUUGUUCGCUUAUUGAUGAAGCUAAGAUCAGAGUUUCUUGGCGAGUCGUCAUCAUCGUGCGAACAAUUGAAGUUUUUAACACUUGUCUGAUCAAUGAGCAUGAUCAAAUUGAUCCAUUUUGAGGGUUUGGGUGAGGCUGAUUGGACAUUACUGCAACUUUAGUCAGAGUCUA